AUGUCUUCGUCCUCGGUUCGCAAGCGCCCAUCGGCCAUUACCGCCGCCGCCAGCUCCAGCGACGUCUCGCCGUGGACAACCCUGCACGGGGAUCUGGUGUGCCUCGUCGGAUGGCGGGUGCUGGCUCAGGACCUGCUCGACUACGUCCGCUUCCGUGCCGUCUGCCGGUACUGGCGGUCCAACACAGUCUGCCCGCGCGGGCGUGGAAUAGUCGAUCCGCGGUUCCACCCGCGCCGCUGGAUGAUGCUGCCCGAAGGGCACAGGCUCCAUCCCCGGGAAGGCAGCAAAAAACGUUUCUUCAACCUGUCCAGUGGAGCUUUCGUCCGCCCUCGACUUCCGCUUCUCAGAGACCACUUCGUCCUCUGCCCAAUCGACGGCCUGCUCAUCAUCGUGCGAGGCUGGCAAUACCACAACAGUGUAUGCCUCCUCCACCCUUUCACGGGUGACGUUGUGGAACUCCCGGAAAACUUAACUAUCCCAGUAGACAUAACUCUCCCAGAAAUCUUGCGACCACGCUUGUUAUCGAUCACUGCGUUCGCGGCUGUGAGCACAAGUCCGGAUGGAGUCCUCGGGGUCAUGAUCGCGUUCCAUAAUACACCGUUCAUACUCUUUGCUAGCACAAGGCACAAGCAGUGGAGUUUAUCUGCCUUAGCCUUCUACCCACAUCCACAUGCGAGCCCAUUAUCUUUCAAAGGAAAACUUUACAUGUUGCGGGAGCAAAGAUCUAGCUGGGAACUAAAUAUUCUGCGGUUCGACCCACCUUGGCAAGAGCAUUCAACGACAUCGGAUUUAGCUUCGUCUUCCUGGUUGUCACCCAAGUUGGUUGCCACAUGUCCGGCGAAUAAGUUCCCCACGCCCGAGCUGGUAGAAUGCGACUCCGAGAUCCUGGUGUUGGGCAAUAGAGAAGCUACACAUAUGCUCAUUUACAGAUUAGUGGAUCUUGCCCAAGGGAAGUUUGUCCCAGUAAAAAGCAUCGGAGGAAAUGCUCUAUUGAUGGAUACUGAAAGGAACCUGAGUUUUAGUUUCUCAGCGGUGCCUACCACCAUGGGUGAUACCAUUGUGCUUGCAAAUCAUCCCGUUGCUGAAUACCAUAUCAGCAGCGAUACCUGGUCAUGGAGAGUUGGGGGAUGUGCAGAACAUGGUUGUAGCAUGGAGUGCUGUACUUGUAGCCUCAUUGACCAUAUGUGCAAUAUAUGUCGCUGUGUUUCUAAGUGAGCGUAUCCCACGUUCCCGUUCAUCCGCAACGGCACUCCAUGCCCACCCGAGGGCGGCGCGCCAGCAAGCCUGCCGUCGUUUAUCCAGAUUGAUUUUGCGAUCGGUACCACGAUGUCGUCGCCGGCGAACUGCGAGCGCCCUCCGGCCAACGUCUCCUCCGCUGCCGGUGGCCUCCAAGACUUGUCCCCGUGGGCCUCUCUCCCUGUAGAUUUGGCCCGCCUUGUAGGCUGGCGGGUGUUGGCCGGAGACCUCCUCGACUACGUCCGGUUCCGCGCUGUCUGCUCUGACUGGCGUUCCGCCACGGUCUCCCCGCGCGGCCAUGGCAUCACUGAUCCGCGGUUUCAUCCCCGCCGGUGGAUGAUGCUGCCCGAGGGCCACGGCCUCCACCCUGCAGCUGCGGGAAAGAAACGCUUCUUCAACCUCUCUACCGGAGUCUUCGUGCGACACCAACUUCCUCUACUCGUGGACCACCUUGUUCUCUGCCCGGUGGAAGGGCUUCUCCUACUGCAGCAGGGGCGACACGGCCAUGGGAAUACUCUGCUUCUCCUCCACCCUUUCACCGGCGAUGUUGCGGAGCUGCCGUUUGGAUGGAGCUUGAGUGUUAGCUUCAAGGCAAUGCCUACUGUUGUUGGCGACACAGUUGUGGGCAUGUACCACGAUGGUAAACAUAUUACGUACUACAACCUCCAUAGUGGCACUUGGUCAGCAACACCGGCAAGGCUUGUAAUGCAUGAUGGUGGCAUGAAGUGUACUUGUAGCCUUAUUGACCAUAUGUAUAAUGUCUGCCAUUGUGAUACUACCUGGUAUGAACACAUGAGAUAUAAUCUUCUUUUCAUAGGCCCGGUCUAUAGAGAUUGA
rnacentral:rRNA from 1 species